rnacentral:lncRNA from 1 species
GCCCUGGGGUACAUGUUUAUGUGAGUAAUAAAAUAUUUACUAUAACAUAAAUAUAAAGGGAACUUCCCAGUCUACAUUAUUAUUAUUAUUUUUGCAAUAAAGAUACAAAGAAUGCACCAAAACAUUGUUCCAAAAAAAUAAUAAAAAUAAAAUAACAAAAUUUAAAUUCAAACUGUAACAAACAGAACGGAAGAAACGGAGAAGGGGGAAGCUCCAAACACAUCCAGAAAAUAAAUAGAGAUGGGUCAGAAAUCUGGAAAUCAUAUUAAAAUAUUUUUUUCCCUUCGGAUUAUUCGGUGUACAAAAUCCUUUCGGAUGGGGAUGGAGGGCAACCCGGAAAAACCAAAAAUAAAAACCAAGCACAAAAAUGUUUCUUCUCCCCGCCAAGUGUGUACAUAUCUCACAUAUUUACAUGGUUCCCACCUCACCCCAAACUUGGGGAAUUUCUCUCCUGGCCGCCCCCCUGCAUCCCGCAUCCCAGGUCGGGCUGGAGAGGGAGCGGGUGAAGGCUGCCGGGAAUCAGGGCAGAAGGUUCGCAGGGAACGGCUUAUUUCUACAGCUGGUUAAAAAAUACCUCCAACUUUUUCAAGUUUUCGUUUGUCGGUGGCCAGGAGGGCAGUGCCCCGCGGGGAGCAGGGGUGGGAUGGGGGGGCCCUGCUGGGCCGCGGUCAGUCUGCAGUGGGGCAGAAGCCUCUUCCCGGGGGGUGUGCGUGGGGAGCGCAGACCCCUCCCGCGUGGCCGGGAACCGAAUCGCAGCUCGGAUAAAACGAAACGAAAAAUGAACACUCGAAUUUUUUUUUGUUAGUUUUUUUUUUUUGUUUUUGUUUUGCUUUUUUUGGGGGGGGGGUGGAGCGAUGGUGGUGGUGGUGAUGGUGGUGGUGGGGUGUAAGGGCAGGGGGAGGUAAGGGGGAAAAAUAAAUUAGGCUAGAUUAAAGCUUUGGCUAUUUCCUGCUUUUAUACACAGACGCGGCUCUCGCGGCCUCCCCUCCGGGGCCCCGAUAAAUACAGUAUACAGCGAUUUAAAUUAAGGGCGCGGGCGGAGUUAGAAGGACCCCAGGAGCCGGGGAGAGGCUCCAUGAAUAAAUAAAAACCGUAAAAAAAAACAAAAAGCAAAAACCAAAAAACCAACCAAAAACAACAAAACCAAGCCCGGAGGAAGGGUAAAAAGGGGGAUGGGGCGCAUCCUUGCGGGAGAGAAGAGGCGUGGAGCGGAUUAAGCGACAGUCCCUCACCCUCGACCCGCAGGCUGGGGAGAGGGGGCCCUCCUGUCUCCAUCCUCUCUCCCGGGGGGUCCCUAACCCCGUACCGCGUUACCUGUCGCUGCGGGGAGGCCGCUGCCGGGAUCCGGCCCCGAACAGCCCGGGGGUGGGAGGGGUGCAGGGGGAGGCGGGGGUCUCCGAGGGGAUGGGGGCGGGGAGCAGGCGGCGGGGUGAGUUGGCGCGUCCCGGAUCUUCGCUCCUCUCUCCCGGGGGCUCGGGCGACGCAGCCUGUCGGGCCGUCUUCGCCGCUCGCCGGAGAGGGUCGUCCGGGUGUUUGGUUUAGGUUCGAAAGUUUCUGGGCUUUUUUUUUUUUUUUUUUUUUUUUUUGUAAAAUCCAAAGCAACCGAACAAAAAGAGAGAGAGAGAGAAAAAAAAA